rnacentral:rRNA from 1 species
CCGAGUUUACAACUCCCAAACCCAAUGUGAACGUUACCAAACUGUUGCCUCGGCGGGGUCACGCCCCGGGUGCGUCGCAGCCCCGGAACCAGGCGCCCGCCGGAGGAACCAACCAAACUCUUUCUGUAGUCCCCUCGCGGACGUAUUUCUUACAGCUCUGAGCAAAAAUUCAAAAUGAAUCAAAACUUUCAACAACGGAUCUCUUGGUUCUGGCAUCGAUGAAGAACGCAGCGAAAUGCGAUAAGUAAUGUGAAUUGCAGAAUUCAGUGAAUCAUCGAAUCUUUGAACGCACAUUGCGCCCGCCAGUAUUCUGGCGGGCAUGCCUGUCCGAGCGUCAUUUCAACCCUCGAACCCCUCCGGGGGAUCGGCGUUGGGGAUCGGGACCCCUCACACGGGUGCCGGCCCCGAAAUACAGUGGCGGUCUCGCCGCAGCCUCUCCUGCGCAGUAGUUUGCACAACUCGCACCGGGAGCGCGGCGCGUCCACGUCCGUAAAACACCCAACUUUCUGAAAUGUUGACCUCGGAUCAGGUAGGAAUACCCGCUGAACUUAAGCAUAUCAAA